CGAGUUCUCGUUGAUGAUCGGUGCUUGCACCGAGAUUCAACAUGGAACGAGUGGCGGACGGGUGAGUAACACGUGGGUAACCUGCCCUUAAGUGGGGGAUAACAUUUGGAAACAGAUGCUAAUACCGCAUAGAUCCAAGAACCGCAUGGUUCUUGGCUGAAAGAUGGCGUAAGCUAUCGCUUUUGGAUGGACCCGCGGCGUAUUAGCUAGUUGGUGAGGUAAUGGCUCACCAAGGCGAUGAUACGCAGCCGAACUGAGAGGUUGAUCGGCCACAUUGGGACUGAGACACGGCCCAAACUCCUACGGGAGGCAGCAGUAGGGAAUCUUCCACAAUGGACGCAAGUCUGAUGGAGCAACGCCGCGUGAGUGAAGAAGGCUUUCGGGUCGUAAAACUCUGUUGUUGGAGAAGAAUGGUCGGCAGAGUAACUGUUGUCGGCGUGACGGUAUCCAACCAGAAAGCCACGGCUAACUACGUGCCAGCAGCCGCGGUAAUACGUAGGUGGCAAGCGUUAUCCGGAUUUAUUGGGCGUAAAGCGAGCGCAGGCGGUUUUUUAAGUCUGAUGUGAAAGCCCUCGGCUUAACCGAGGAAGCGCAUCGGAAACUGGGAAACUUGAGUGCAGAAGAGGACAGUGGAACUCCAUGUGUAGCGGUGAAAUGCGUAGAUAUAUGGAAGAACACCAGUGGCGAAGGCGGCUGUCUGGUCUGUAACUGACGCUGAGGCUCGAAAGCAUGGGUAGCGAACAG
rnacentral:rRNA from 1 species